rnacentral:rRNA from 1 species
UACGUAGGGGGCAAGCGUUGUCCGGAAUCAUUGGGCGUAAAGCGCGCGUAGGCGGCCCGGUAAGUCCGCUGUGAAAGUCAAAGGCUCAACCUUUGAAUGUCAGCGGAUACUGCCGGGCUAGAGUCCGGAAGAGGCGAGUGGAACUCCUGGUGUAGCGGUGGAAUGCGCAGAUAUCGGGAAGAACACCAACGGCGAAGGCAGCUCGCUGGGACGGAACUGACGCUGAGGCGCGAAAGCGUGGGGAGCGAACAGG